CUAAGUAGUAGUGCCGUAGGUAAUCUGAUUUGAGACUUUACCUGCACACUUCUGCUUAUA
rnacentral:pre_miRNA from 1 species